CUAGCACAUCUUUUUCACAACUUUCUGGCGCAACCAUAGAAAGAGUCUGUAGACAAGAAGGUUUACCUGUGGUGGUAGUCGGGGAUGGCAAUUUUGCAGGUAUGUUGGUGUGGAGAUGCCUCAAUUGUAACAAGUUCCAUAUUUCUGCUUUUACUUCAAGAGUGGGCUCUAAGGUACUUGUAUUAAGUAUUAGAGUUUGUAAAUUCCAGAAUUUACCAAAGGUCGGAGGGAGGGCCUUAAAGUCACCUGAGAUAGCAAUAUACCUCAAAUGAAAUAAAUUGUUAAAGUCUUUGGAGAAAAGAAAUUUGAGAGAUUCAACAUCCAAGACUCUCAUAAGUGGAAAUGCUUUGUGAAUGAGUUUGAUGUCAUUAGGAGACAAGUCA